AUGAGAGUAUAGUUAAGCUGAACAUUCUAGCAAGAGAACUAAUUGAUCAACGGGGAAGAAGCAGCUCCAAGAACUAUCCAGCUGAUCUGUUAGUCGUAUAACCAACUAAACCAUGAGUGUUUCUUAAGUUUUGCAAGAUAUUGGAUUCUCAAAUCGCACACCGGUAAAAUAAAAUAUUUUGUAAAUCAUUGGUGCAGAAGUUUCACAACCAUCCAUCCAGUAUUUAUUAUGAAAGUUUCAGCUGCAAGAGAAUAGAUCACGAGUCACAUUUUCUGGUCUUCUGAUUCUUCAUUUCCC
rnacentral:lncRNA from 1 species